AUACUUAGGAUUUUUGCUGCGAGUUCGACAUUCGUGCGUUGAGGUGUUGGGAGUAACGUUAGGCUCCCUUACAUUCACAACCAGAUUGUGAAUUGUUGAAGGUUCAGUUCGCCAUUAUAUCGGCAAAGGUAAUAAAGGCGGCAAACCGGCGAGGGGCAGGAAGGAAGCGUGAUGCCAUAGGAAAUAUGUUGUUUGCUUCCGCUUAUGGGUUCUUGUGAGGUUUAAGAUGAAUUGAAAUUUUGCUUACAAACGUUUAUUGUAAAUAGUAUUGUUUUUAUGUUUUCUUGAAUGUUUGAAA